rnacentral:rRNA from 1 species
UACGUAGGGUGCAAGCGUUUAAUCGGAAUUACUGGGCGUAAAGCGUGCGCAGGCAGUUUUGUAAGUCAGAUGUGAAAUCCCCGGGCUCAACCUGGGAACUGCAUUCAAAACUGACGAGCUAGAGUAUGGGAGAGGGUAGUGGAAUUCCCGGUGUAGCGGUGAAAUGCGUAGAUAUCGGGAGGAACAUCAGUGGCGAAGGCGGCUACCUGGCCCAAUACUGACACUCAGGUGCGACAGCGUGGGGAGCAAACAGG